AUUGAACGCUGGCGGCAGGCUUAACACAUGCAAGUCGAGCGGAGCGAGGGUGCUUGCACCUUAGCUUAGCGGCGGACGGGUGAGUAAAGUAUCGGAACGUGCCCAGCCGUGGGGGAUAACGUAGCGAAAGUUACGCUAAUACCGCAUACGAUCCAUGGAUGAAAGCGGGGGAUCGCAAGACCUCGCGCGAUUGGACCGGCCGAUAUCAGAGUAGGUAGUGGGGGGGGCAAAGGCUCACAAAGCCGACGAUCUGGAGCUGGUCUGAGAGGACGACCAGCCACACUGGGACUGAGACACGGCCCAGACUCCUACGAGAGGCAGCAGUGGGGAAUCUUGCGCAAUGGGGGAAACCUUGUCGCAGCAACGCCGCGUGGGUGAUGAAGGCCUUCGGGUCGUAAAGCCCUGUCAGGUGGGAAGAAACAUAUCGGUGCUAAUAUCACCGAUGUUUGACGGUACCGCCGGAGGAAGCACCGGCUAACUCCGUGCCAGCCGCCGCGGUAAAAC
rnacentral:rRNA from 1 species